CCUACGGGAGGCAGCAGUGAGGAAUAUUGGUCAAUGGACGAGAGUCUGAACCAGCCAAGUAGCGUGAAGGAUGACUGCCCUAUGGGUUGUAAACUUCUUUUAUAUGGGAAUAAAAUGUUCCACGUGUGGGAUUUUGUAUGUACCAUAUGAAUAAGGAUCGGCUAACUCCGUGCCAGCAGCCGCGGUAAUACGGAGGAUCCGAGCGUUAUCCGGAUUUAUUGGGUUUAAAGGGAGCGUAGGUGGAUUGUUAAGUCAGUUGUGAAAGUUUGCGGCUCAACCGUAAAAUUGCAGUUGAAACUGGCAGUCUUGAGUACAGUAGGGGUGGGCGGAAUUCGUGGUGUAGCGGUGAAAUGCUUAGAUAUCACGAAGAACUCCGAUUGCGAAGGCAGUUCACUGGACUGCAACUGACACUGAGGCUCGAAAGUGUGGGUAUCAAACAGGAUUAGAUACCCGAGUAGUC
rnacentral:rRNA from 1 species